GAAAUAACACAAAUUUCUUUUCUUUACUUCUUUUUAGGGGAGCAGCACACAAAAAUCGGUAGGUUUUAUGAAUUUCUCAGGAGGAAAUUGGAGAAAUCCCAUUGGAAAUGGGAGAAAACUGCAUUUUUACAGGAAAAAAUGUUUAAAAUCGCAUUAAAAUUAAUUUUUUUUUUUUUUCAGGUGAACUCACUGCAGACGUGGGCGUUUGCACCAAAAAACUCCAGCGAUGCGAGGCAGAACUCGAGGAGCGGGAGGUGACGAUCCGUAAGUACCCCCCCCCCGAGUGACGUCACAGCUAUUUUUAGGGAUGAUGUCACCGGGAACACGAGGCCGGGACUAUGUAUAAUUUAAAUUUUGAUAUUGAAUUUCUUUAAAUUUUUAUAUUGAAUUUCUUGUAAAUUUUGACAUUAAAGUUUCUUAUAAAAAUCAUUUAUUCCAUUUUGUUUUUUCUCUUUUAGGGGAAAACGAAGCGGAGCUCAGUGAGUGGCAUUUUCUGUCCUGGGGGAGGCUCUGGGGGGUCUUUAACCAAAUCGGUUUAAAAUUCAAAAUAUAGGGUAAAAAAAGGGGGGGGGGUUUAAGCAGAAAUUCCUAUCCAAAACCAUCCAAAGGAAUGGAAAAAACAAAAAGUUUUUAAAUUUUUUUUUUAAUAUAUAUAUUUUUAUUUGUAGAAUUCAGAUUUUAUAUUUUUAGAAUUUUGGUUUCAUUUUUAUUUUUAGAAUUUUGGGGUUUGUUUAAUUCUAAGUUGUAAAAUCUGAAAUCAUGGUGUUAAAAACUGCGUUUUUCUUUCCUUUGAGGGCGCCUGAGGGAGCUUCUGGGUAAGUCCUUUCCCUCCCCCUAAAUUCAGCCUUUUUUACCCCAAAAUUUCACAACGUCAUUUAUCAAAAGAGAAUUUGGCCAAAAACUGGCUUUGGGGGAGGCGUUUUUCCAAAUUCAGCAAAAAAAUGGCAAUAAUUUGGAAUAAUUUCAAUUUUUUUUCUCUUUGCAGAGGAGAAGGAUUCGGAAAUUCGUAAGUUCUGGAGCAAAAAUACAAAAAAUUUGGACAAAAUACAACAGAAAUUAAAGGAAAUUGUCCUGGAAAUCUGAUUUUCUUCCCUAAAUGUUCAGUCCUGUUCAAUGAUUUCAUUAAAUUAAUGUAACAAUUUUCAGUUUUCAGAUAUUUUCUCUGAAAUUUUAGCAUUAAAUGAAAUAUUUGCUGUUGUCUGCUUGAACUCAGUGUCAUAAAUUGGGGGAAAAUGGGGUUUUGUUCAUUUCUACUCCU
rnacentral:lncRNA from 1 species